rnacentral:rRNA from 1 species
AACGAACGCUGGCGGCAGGCCUAACACAUGCAAGUCGAACGCCCUGGCAACAGGGAGUGGCAGACGGGUGAGUAACGCGUGGGAACGUGCCCUUCGGUUCGGAAUAACUCAGGGAAACUUGAGCUAAUACUGAAUACGUGCGAGAGCAGAAAGAUUUAUCGCCGAAGGAUCGGCCCGCGUCCGAUUAGCUAGUUGGUGAGGCAAUGGCUCACCAAGGCGACGAUCGGUAGCUGGUCUGAGAGGAUGAUCAGCCACACUGGGACUGAGACACGGCCCAGACUCCUACGGGAGGCAGCAGUGGGGAAUAUUGGACAAUGGGCGCAAGCCUGAUCCAGCCAUGCCGCGUGAGUGAUGAAGGCCCUAGGGUUGUAAAGCUCUUUCGCCAGGGACGAUAAUGACGGUACCUGGAUAAGAAGCCCCGGCUAACUUCGUGCCAGCAGCCGCGGUAA